GCGGCGUGCUUAACACAUGCAAGUCGAACGAUGAAGCCCAGCUUGCUGGGUGGAUUAGUGGCGAACGGGUGAGUAACACGUGAGUAACCUGCCCUUGACUUCGGGAUAACUCCGGGAAACCGGGGCUAAUACCGGAUAUGAGCCGCCUUCGCAUGGGGGUGGUUGGAAAGUUUUUCGGUCAGGGAUGGGCUCGCGGCCUAUCAGCUUGUUGGUGGGGUGAUGGCCUACCAAGGCGACGACGGGUAGCCGGCCUGAGAGGGCGACCGGCCACACUGGGACUGAGACACGGCCCAGACUCCUACGGGAGGCAGCAGUGGGGAAUAUUGCACAAUGGGCGCAAGCCUGAUGCAGCGACGCCGCGUGAGGGAUGAAGGCCUUCGGGUUGUAAACCUCUUUCAGCAGGGAAGAAGCGCAAGUGACGGUACCUGCAGAAGAAGCGCCGGCUAACUACGUGCCAGCAGCCGCGGUAAUACGUAGGGCGCAAGCGUUGUCCGGAAUUAUUGGGCGUAAAGAGCUCGUAGGCGGUUUGUCGCGUCUGGUGUGAAAACUCGAGGCUCAACCUCGAGCUUGCAUCGGGUACGGGCAGACUAGAGUGCGGUAGGGGAGACUGGAAUUCCUGGUGUAGCGGUGGAAUGCGCAGAUAUCAGGAGGAACACCGAUGGCGAAGGCAGGUCUCUGGGCCGCAACUGACGCUGAGGAGCGAAAGCAUGGGGAGCGAACAGGAUUAGAUACCCUGGUAGUCCAUGCCGUAAACGUUGGGCACUAGGUGUGGGGCUCAUUCCACGAGUUCCGUGCCGCAGCAAACGCAUUAA
rnacentral:rRNA from 1 species